UGAAUUUAAUGAAGGUUGAAAUUGGUGAUGAAGGAGGUCAAGUUUUGGUAUUGACAAGAUGUUGAAUUUUAUAUGGUUUGUGUUCAUGUCAAGGUUUGGAUUCUCACGGUAAACAUACAAAGAUGAUUCAAACAAGUAAGCAAGCAUAGAAGGCACAAGCAAGCAAGCAUUCAUGGAGUGAUAAAUAAAGUUUGAGGAUUACCGAUCGGAGACCCUCCGAUGGUUCUUC
rnacentral:lncRNA from 1 species